UCCGAUGAUGGCAUGAAAUCUUUGAGACCUGAUUGUCUAAUUUGAUGACAACUACAAGCAUUUUCUUCUGAGGAU
rnacentral:snoRNA from 1 species